GACGAACGCUUGCGGCGUGCCUAAGAAAUGCAAGUCGAGCGAAGUUCAGGGGUGCUUGCACUCCGAAGACUUAGCGGCGAACGGUCGCGUAACACGUAAGCAACCUGCCCUAAAGUUUGGGAUAGCCCACCGAAAGGUGGAUUAAUACCGGAUGUGUACAAUUUUUCGCAUGUUAAAUUGUUUAAAGCAGCAAUGCGCUUUAGGAUGGGCUUGCGGCCUAUCAGCUAGUUGGUGUGGUAACGGCUCACCAAGGCGACGACGGGUAGCUGGUCUGAGAGGAUGAUCAGCCGGAUUGGGACUGAGAUACGGCCCAGACUCCUACGGGGGCAGCAAUUAGGAAUCUUGCGCAAUGGGCGAAAGCCUGACGCAGCGACGCCGCGUGACUGAUGAAAUCCUUCGGGAUGUAAAAGUCUUUUCUUGGUGAAGAAGGAUGUGACUGUAGCCAAAGGAUAAGCUCCGGCUAACUACGUGCCAGCAGCCGCGGUAAUAUC
rnacentral:rRNA from 1 species